GAGGGUAUAGCUCAGUGGUAGAGUGCAUGCCUAGCACACACGAGGUCCUGGGUUCAAUCCUCAGCACCUCCA
rnacentral:tRNA from 1 species